rnacentral:rRNA from 1 species
GACGAACGCUGGCGGCGUGCUUAACACAUGCAAGUCGAACGAGAGGACAAGAGAAGCUUGCUUCUUUUGGAAUCGAGUGGCAAACGGGUGAGUAACACGUAAACAACCUGCCUUCAGGAUGGGGACAACAGACGGAAACGACUGCUAAUACCGAAUACGCUUGGGAGACCGCAUGAUCUUCCAAGGAAAGGGUGGCCUCUACUUGUAAGCUAUCGCCUGAAGAGGGGUUUGCGUCUGAUUAGGCAGUUGGUGAGGUAACGGCCCACCAAACCUACGAUCAGUAGCCGGUCUGAGAGGAUGAACGGCCACACUGGAACUGAGACACGGUCCAGACUCCUACGGGAGGCAGCAGUGGGGAAUCUUCCGCAAUGGGCGAAAGCCUGACGGAGCAACGCCGCGUGAGUGAUGACGGCCUCGGUGUAAAGCUCUGUGAUCGGGACGAACGGUCCGUAAGCCGAAUACCUUAUGGAAGUGACGGUACCGAACUAGCAAGCACGGCU